UACGUAGGGUGCAAGCGUUGUCCGGAAUUAUUGGGCGUAAAGGGCUCGUAGGCGGUCCGUCACGUCGGGAGUGAAAUCCUGGGGCUUAACCCCAGAACUGCUUCCGAUACGGGCAGACUAGAGGUAGGUAGGGGGAGAAUGGAAUUCCUGGUGUAGCGGUGGAAUGCGCAGAUAUCAGGAGGAACACCAGUGGCGAAGGCGGUUCUCUGGGCCUUACCUGACGCUCAUGCACGAAAGCGUGGGGAGCAAACAGG
rnacentral:rRNA from 1 species